AUGAACGCUGGCGGCGUGCCUAAUACCUGCAAGUCGAGCGAACAGACGAGGAGCUUGCUCCUCUGACGUUAGCGGCGGACGGGUGAGUAACACGUGGCUAACCUACCUAUAAGACUGGGAUAACUUCGGGAAACCGGAGCUAAUACCGGAUAAUAUAUUGAACCGCAUGGUUCAAUAGUGAAAGACGGUUUUGCUGUCACUUAUAGAUGGAUCCGCGCCGCAUUAGCUAGUUGGUAAGGUAACGGCUUACCAAGGCAACGAUGCGUAGCCGACCUGAGAGGGUGAUCGGCCACACUGGAACUGAGACACGGUCCAGACUCCUACGGGAGGCAGCAGUAGGGAAUCUUCCGCAAUGGGCGAAAGCUUGACGGAGCAACGCCGCGUGAGUGAUGAAGGUCUUCGGAUCGUAAAACUCUGUUAUUAGGGAAGAACAAAUGUGUAAGUAACUAUGCACGUCUUGACGGUACCUAAUCAGAAAGCCACGGCUAACUACGUG
rnacentral:rRNA from 1 species